UGCGCAGGCGGUUUGUUAAGCGAGAUGUGAAAGCCCUGGGCUCAACCUAGGAAUAGCAUUUCGAACUGGCGAACUAGAGUCUUGUAGAGGGGGGUAGAAUUCCAGGUGUAGCGGUGAAAUGCGUAGAGAUCUGGAGGAAUACCGGUGGCGAAGGCGGCCCCCUCGGACAAAGACUGACGCUCAUGCACGAAAGCGUGGGGAGCAAACA
rnacentral:rRNA from 1 species